rnacentral:tRNA from 1 species
GGGCAAUUGGCGCAGUGGUAGCGCGUCCGCUUUGCAUGCGGAAGGACUAGGGUUCGAUCCCCUAAUUGUCCA